UGCAGAGGAGCAAACGAACAAAUCAC
rnacentral:piRNA from 1 species